rfam:Gossypium hirsutum cultivar TM-1 chromosome 15, whole genome shotgun sequence
AAUCCAUAGUGCGAGCAUUUUGAAUCAACAUUUUGAACCGUUCCCAUGCCUCAUAGAAACUUUAUCCCUCUAUCUGUCUAAAAACAACAAUAUCGCUUUUUAGCU